AGCUGGUAAUGCCAGCUUAGGGGGAAGGCAGCCUCCUUUGAGAGGGGGAAAAGGGCAGAAUUCUGAUUGGAAAGGGCAAAGUGGGGAUUCAUGCAGCUGAUUGAGCCAACACAUGACAGGAGAGAAGGAAGCCAGUGAAAACACAGCAGGGUCCUUCAGGAGCAAUGACAGAGGAUGACCAUGAACAAGGAACUUUUAUGGAAUUGCAGAAUUUUAGAACUGGAAGAACCCCAGGAGGUCAUACAACAACAAGAAGAAGCAUUUUAAUUAACACUUUAAAACUUCAGAGCAUGUUACAUAGACUAUCUCAUUUGACACUUCUAAUGACCCUACAAGAAAGGAAUUUACAAAAAUGCAAGAGGAAGAUGCAAGAUCAAAAUUCCAUUUGGAAUUCCAAUUACCUGGGACUAGACAGGAAGAGACAGUAAGAUACAGUAACUGAAAAAUCAGUUAACAGUUGGUGUUGGACUCCUUAGGAGACAGAAACUGUGUCCUGCUUUCUGCUUUCAUGAUACUGAGAGGGUAGCUGAUUUUGGUACUCAGGUGGACCAAGGAAAAGCCUUUCUCUGUGGCUGUCUUGAGAUACCUGCCUGCUUCCUGCUGUUCACACUACAAAGAGAACCUGGAUUUCUCCUGGAGGUGUCUUUAUUUGGAGCAAAGGAAGACUCUUGUCUGUGAGAAUCCCUUAAGGUCCUUUCCUUUACCAAAUCCCUCUCCAAUUUAAUUAACCCUUUUGUAGUCAGAUUAAGUUAGAUUAGAAAUUUUAGUGAGUUAAUAUCUGGGUGGGUAAUAGUAAAUUGGUUCCUCAUCCCUUGCCCUUUUUGUUAAUAAAACUGUUUUAUACAAUUGUGUGAUUCCCUUCCCCCAAAUCCCCCUAUUUCAUUUCCCUAAUAAAUUUAGCCUGGGGCUAAGCCUUUUAGCAGCCCUCCAUACAGAGGCUAGUUAAUUAGGUGGUGUCUGUACUUAUAUCAAAUUUUUUUCCUCUGAAGUCUUUAGAACACCCUGCCCUCUAGCCUUGUGAGACUCUGACAUCUAUCCAGUACAUACUGGGGUUGUGCCAUCUACAGAUAGGAAGUAGAACUACAAGCAAUUUUAUAAUUAAAUUUAAAAUAGGCAACUGAGUAUGAAAAGCAUGGCCCACAUUGUGAAAGAGAAGUUUCCUGCCUAUUUCAAACAGGUCCCAUUCUCAUAGAACAUUAUUGAGCCCACAUAGCUCACAAUUUUAGAUGGCCUUCAUUUUUUUACCAUUUUUGAGUAUAAUUGUACUGAUAGGAGAGCUUCAAAUUUAUCAAAUAGUUUACCCAUUCCUCCCCAAGGGGGAAAAAAAAACAAUGGGAAGACAGUUGUACUUAGUCUCCACCUCACCCUGUCUGACCUAUUUCUCUUCCUGUCCAAUGCAUUUCUUGUCCAACCCAACCCAUCCCUUUUCCUGUCCAACUCACCUCUCAAACUACCUCUCCUCCUGCUCAAACUAUCCCUCCUCCUGUUCAAACUAUCUCUCCCCCUACCCAACCCAUCUCUCCCCCUGACCCUAUCAUUCCUCACCUUACCUACUCCAUUGCAACCCAAACAAAAAGCCAAACAGCAGUAAUUGAAGAUAAUUCAGUUAAAGGCCUAUUUCCCAUAAGGGAAGUACCCACUUUUAAUAGUGGAGGUUUAGUGACCAUUAGGCAUCAUAUACCUUUCACUCCACAAGAUAUAGAAAGAUUCAAGGUAAAUACCCUUUCCUUUGAAGAUGAGCUCAUUGUGAUUAUAAACAAGCUUGAGAGCACUUACUAUGCUUAUAAUCCCACAUGGACUGAGGUGAAAAAUUUGUUCCAAGCCUUUCUAACAGAAAGAGAAAAAAUUAAAUUGUUUCUCUUGUUGAUCAGGCCCAAGGAAAGGGAGCAAUUCAUUGGCCAAAGGAAGAUCCAAAAUGGAACUCAAAUACAGAGGAAGAAUUUUGCAGUUAUGUUUAGCUAUGGAUGCAAUAUUAGAUGCAAUGAGAGCUUACUCUGAUAGACCUGGUACAUGGACAAAAUUUGAAAAUCUUAAACAAAAGCAUUAUUAAAACCCCUCCCAGUUUAUGGAUAGGCUUAUUGACCUGGGAGGUAGAUAUAAAGACCUGGAUCUUUCCAGAGAAAGGAAUGUCAUGCAAAUAAGAAGGCAGUUUGUAAAGAACUAUUGUAAGGUGAUCAAAGACUAAUUUAAAACUAACUGCCCAAACUGGGCUACUAUGGAUCUAGAGGAAUUAAGAAAAGUGACAGUUUACAUUUUUGUUGGACAUGAGAAGAAAGAUGAUGAUAACAGUGACUUAGUGGAGGCAUUAAGGAAGGAAAUGAGAGUACUAACAGAAAAAAAAUUAAAAAAAGAAAAAGCAAAUCAAGGAAUGGCCAUAGCCGCUUUGCAGGAAUCCACAAAUCAACCAUUAAUUUGGUACUUCUGUGGAAAAAGGGAUCACGUAAUGAUAAACUGUAGGAAGUAGAAUCAGGUAUACAAAAAUUUAAAUUUUAGGAAAUAAUAGAAACAUUAGAAAUAACAAUAAUAGGAACUUGGAUAGAAAUAAUAAUUCAAAUGAAGUAAAUCAAGACCCACAACAAAAUACCCAAAAUGGGGUUUGUCCACACUAUAUUCAGGGAAGAAAUCCCCCUCAGCAUGGGGGACCCCAGAGGCAUGACCAAAGGAAUCUAGAUAAAUGAUGGUACUGGGGGGGGGGGAAGAAGGAACCUCAAAGAGUCUGGUGGUAAAUUUUAAGUCUUUUCAUACUGUUCCCCUCCCAAUAGUGAAAAAGCUUCUGUGAUGCAGUUUUUUAAAAAAAUUAUAUUCUUCCUAUGACUAGACUAGAGAUAAUACCAUUAUAAAAGUCCAUAGACAAGUUGGACACUGUUUUGGCUAACACAUUGUCAUGGAAUGUGAACUAUGAAUUUUUUAAAAUUUUCAUUAUUGUUUUUCUUUUUAUUUGCAAUAAGAUAUUUCAUUUUAUUAGCCAUUAUACCUAUGCAUACUGUAAGGGUUAAAAUUAGUGGUUUGACUAAACUAUAUGAUUCAAAGUAUUAUUGCUCAAAGUCACAGUGACUUUUAAUAGCUUUUAUUUACAAAAGAGGUGGAAAGAGUUAAAGUAAAGAAAUACAAAAAGGUAGAGAAAACAUUAACCUACUCAGCCAGGACUUGUUGACCUUCAACCAGAAAAGCCAGCUAUCCACUCACCCAAGUUCCCUCCAAGAGGCAGGUCAAGAUAAUAACUCAAGCUGAAGAUGAUUCCUGAUUCCGACUUUCUUCCUUGAGCCAACCUUCUUCUUGAAGUUGAAUUCCUUCUUGAAGUCAACUUCUUUCUUGGAGUUGUCUUUCUCUUUAGCCUUGGAAAUUCAGGGACUUUUAUAGUGACUUCUUAUCUUCUUUCCUCU